rfam:Otolemur garnettii contig086260, whole genome shotgun sequence.
GUUCUGGCCAGGUGUCUGUAGUCCCAGCUACUGGGGAACCUGAGGUGGGAGAAUUACUUAAGCCCAGGAAGUCUGGCUUGUAACACACUAUGUGGAUGGGGGGUCACACUAAAUUCAGCAUCAACAUGGUGACCUCUGAGAAAGGCCAACACCAAGUUGCUUAAGGAGAGGUGAACUGGCCCAGGUUGGAAACACAGCAGGUCAGAACUCCCGGCUAGUGGGAUCAUACUUUUGAAUAGGUGCUAUACUCUAGCCUGGCCAAUACAGCAAGACCUCAUCUUGU